GGCCUUGAUCAUAUCUUGGCUUGUCAUUAUUAUCUAUUUACUGUGAACUGUAUUAUUAUUUGACGUUUGAGGGAUGUUCCAAUGUUAUAAGGAUAGACAUUGGAGAUGCUAACCGAGUCAUAAUCAGGUUUAGGCCUGGUAUCCUAUUAUUAUUUACCAAAUGAAUUCAGAAUUAAUAUUGUAACAUAGACCUAAAAAAUCUAUAAAACAACUUUUAACAACGGAUCUCUUGGUUCUCGCAUCGAUGAAGAACGUAGCAAAGUGCGAUAACUAGUGUGAAUUGCAUAUUCAGUGAAUCAUCGAGUCUUUGAACGCAACUUGCGCUCAUUGGUAUUCCAAUGAGCACGCCUGUUUCAGUAUCAAAACAAACCCUCUAUCCAACUUUUGUUGUAUAGGAUUAUUGGGGGCCUCUCGAUCUGUAUAGAUCUUGAAACCCUUGAAAUUUACUAAGGCCUGAACUUGUUUAAUGCCUGAACUUUUUUUUAAUAUAAAGGAAAGCUCUUGUAAUUGACUUUGAUGGGGCCUCCCAAAUAAAUCUUUUUUAAAUUUGAUCUGAAAUCAGGUGGGAUUACCCGCUGAACUUAAGCAUAUCAAUAAGCGGAGGA
rnacentral:sRNA from 1 species